CUCGCGAGAACAAAGGCGCGCGAGCCUCAGAGGCCCGGAACCGGCCUUGGAACUGCAGCGGAACUGAAGCUGCUUGCCCUCCCGCCCCAUGGAGCGGCCCCCGGGGCUGCGGCCGGGCGCGGGCGGGCCUUGGGAGAUGCGGGAGCGACUUGGCACCGGCGGGUUCGGGAAUGUCUGUCUGUACCAGCAUCGGGAACUUGAUCUCAAAAUAGCCAUUAAAUCCUGCCGCCUAGAGCUAAGUACCAAAAACAGAGAACGGUGGUGUCAUGAAAUCCAGAUUAUGAAGAAGUUGAACCAUGCUAAUGUUGUAAAGGCCUGUGAUGUUCCUGAGGAACUGAAUUUUUUGAUUAAUGAUGUGCCUCUUCUAGCAAUGGAGUACUGUUCUGGAGGAGAUCUCCGGAAGCUACUCAACAAACCAGAAAAUUGUUGUGGACUUAAAGAAAGUCAGAUACUUUCUUUACUCAGUGAUAUAGGGUCUGGGAUUCGAUAUUUGCAUGAAAAUAAAAUUAUACAUCGAGAUCUAAAACCUGAAAAUAUAGUUCUUCAGGAUGUUGGUGGAAAGGCAAUGCACAAAAUAAUUGAUCUGGGAUAUGCCAAAGAUGUUGAUCAAGGAAGUCUCUGUACGUCUUUUGUGGGAACCCUGCAGUAUCUGGCCCCAGAACUUUUUGAGAAUAAGCCUUACACAGCUACUGUUGAUUAUUGGAGCUUUGGGACAAUGGUGUUUGAAUGUAUUGCUGGAUAUAGGCCGUUUUUGCAUCAUCUGCAGCCAUUUACCUGGCAUGAAAAAAUUAAGAAGAAGGAUCCAAAGUGUAUAUUUGCUUGUGAAGAGAUGACUGGGGAAGUUCGGUUUAGUAGCCAUUUACCUCAGCCAAAUAGCCUUUGUAGUUUGAUAGUAGAGCCUAUGGAAAACUGGCUACAGUUGAUGCUGAAUUGGGACCCACAGCAGAGAGGGGGACCUGUUGACCUUACUCUAAAGCAACCAAGAUGUUUCAUAUUAAUGGAUCACAUUCUGAAUUUGAAGAUAGUACACAUCCUAAAUAUGACUUCUGCAAAGAUAAUUUCUUUUCUGUUACCACCUGAUGAAAGUCUUCAUUCACUACAGUCUCGUAUUGAGCAUGAAACUGGAAUAAAUACUGGUUCUCAAGAGCUUCUUUCAGAGACAGGAAUUUCACUGGAUCCUCGGAAACCAGCUUCUCAAUGUGUUCUAGAUGGAGUUAGAGGCUGUGAUAGCUAUAUGGUUUAUUUGUUUGAUAAAAGCAAGACUGUAUAUGAAGGGCCAUUUGCUUCCAGAAGUUUGUCUGAUUGUGUAAAUUAUAUUGUACAAGAUAGCAAAAUUCAGCUUCCAGUUGUACAGCUACGUAAAGUAUGGGCUGAAGCAGUACACUAUGUGUCUGGGCUGAAAGAAGACUACAGUAGGCUCUUUCAGGGACAAAGAGCAGCAAUGUUAAGUCUUCUUAGAUACAAUGCCAACUUGACAAAAAUGAAGAACACUUUGAUCUCAGCAUCACAGCAACUGAAAGCUAAAUUGGAAUUUUUUCAAAAAAGCAUUCAGCUUGACCUGGAGAGAUAUAGUGAGCAGAUGACUUAUGGAAUAUCUUCAGAAAAAAUGCUAAAAGCUUGGAAAGAAAUGGAAGAAAAGGCCAUCCACUAUGCUGAGGUUGGUGUCAUUGGAUACCUUGAAGAUCAGAUUAUGUCUUUGCACACUGAAAUCAUGGAGCUACAGAAGAGCCCCUAUGGAAGACGCCAGGAAGACUUGAUGGAAUCUCUGGGACAGCGUGCCAUUGAUCUGUAUAAGCAGUUAAAGCACAGACCUGCAGAUCACUCCUACAGUGACAGCACAGAGAUGGUGAAGAUCAUUGUGCAUACUGUUCAGAGUCAAGAUCGUGUUCUCAAGGAGCUGUUUGGCCAUCUAAGCAAGCUUUUGGGCUGUAAGCAGAAGAUUAUUGACCUACUCCCCAAGGUAGAAGUGGCCCUCAGUAACAUCAAAGAAGCCGACAAUACUGUCAUGUUCAUGCAGGGAAAGAGGCAGAAAGAAAUAUGGCAUCUCCUUAAAAUUGCCUGUACACAGAGUUCUGCCAGGUCCCUUGUAGGAUCCAGUCUAGAAGGUGCAGUAACUCCUCAGGCAUCAGCGUGGCUGCCUCCAACUUUAGCAGAACGUGAACAUUCUCUGUCAUGCGUGCAUAAGAUGUGCCGUAUCCAGAGCCAGUGGCUCUUUGCUAGCUUGUGUAUUUGUCACUUUUCUCACAACUCAUGGAGACCUCUACAGCACCAGCAUUUCCUGGAAGUUCUGCCCAUAAUUAGUUUUGCAGAAGUGCAGCCAUGUUACAUCACUGCUCAGGAGGUCAUGCAAUUGCACAUUCUAUACGCUACUUUUAUGAGAGAAAAAGCACAUGGCAGGAAGGCAAGCUGAUACCAGGGAGAGUUUAGCACAAGUGAUAGAAGAAAAUUUGAACUGUCUUGGCCAUUUAAAUACUAUUAUUCAUGAAGCAAAUGAGGAACAGGGCAAUAGCAUGAUGAAUCUUGAUUGGAGUUGGUUAACUGAAUGACUUGCCACUUGUUCACUGCCCUCAAACCUAUGGAAGUUGUUGCUACAAAUGUUGGAAAUUUGUUUUUCCUCCAUGAAACCAUUCUUCACAUACUAGUCAGUGGAAGAAAGGGCUAUAUUCAGAAACUACGCGAGGCUUUACUCUUGAUUUUGAGUAAUUUUAACCUCCACAUAGGAUUUUAUGAAAAAUCGAUGGAUGUAAUUAAAUAUUUGUUUUAAUACUACAAUUACUUAGGAGCAUCAUUGUGACUUAUGUUUUCAAACUUAGUAAAACAUUACUUAUUUACCUGACUAAAAAUAUCUUCUGAAGUUUUAACUUUUAGGCAUAAAGCUAAACAUAGUAUUGUACACAGAGAAGUCAUCUAACAUCCAUUUUAAGUAAAUGUUGCCUACUUGUGUUUUUAUGGAAGAGAUUGCUUACAAGUAAAAUCGUACUUCUUGAAGAAUAAAUCCUACCUCCUUGUGUUGCACUCAACUAGUGCUCUUCCUGGCAUCAUAGGGAGUUGACUUAAUCCUAUUUUAAUUUUAUGGUACAUUUAAUAGUAUCCCCUUCUUACGGAAGGGAUUGUGCAUCCAUGCCUUCAAUUCCAGUUGAUUGUCAUAAAUCAUGUGUGCUAUAUGUAUUUAAGAUGUACAUUUAAUAAUAUCAAAGAGAAAGAUGUCUGUUAAUUUAUAAUUAUUUGAAAGCUUAUGUUUUUUCAUUUGUAAAAAAAGGUCAUUUGUUUAGUUUUUUGUGUCUUAUAAUACAAGUGUAUAAAGAUCUGCAUUCCCUUAUCUGUAAUUGUAAUUUCAAAAUCCAAGAAAUUCUGAAAACAAGGUUUUCAUAAGUGACAAAAUUAAUUUGCUUACAUAUCUAAUCUGACAAACCGUUUCACUCAUUUCAUGUGAAUAUUCAUUUAUUUUCCUGCAGAAAUAUUAACAUGUUUGAUUACUGGGGAGGGGUUGCUACUACUUAGGUUAAUGUAAUAUGGUAUAUGCACAGUACCUUUUUAAAAUCUGAAAAAUGUCAUAAUUUUGAAACAUCUGCCUCCCAGAGCUUUCAGAUAAAGUAUUGUGGCUCUCUUAUGUUAAACAAUUUAGAAGGUAUUAUUUGUUUUAAAAAUGUAAAAUGCUUUUAUAUUCUAGUUUUUCACUUUAUGUAUUAAAUGAUUUUUAAAUUAAA